rnacentral:rRNA from 1 species
AGUAAUACAUCGGAACGCGCCCUGUAGUGGGGGAUAACUAGUCGAAAGACUAGCUAAUACCGCAUACGACCUGAGGGUGAAAGUGGGGGACCGCAAGGCCUCAUGCUAUAGGAGCGGCCGAUGUCUGAUUAGCUAGUUGGUGGGGUAAAGGCCCACCAAGGCGACGAUCAGUAGCUGGUCUGAGAGGACGAUCAGCCACACUGGGACUGACACACGGCCCAGACU